rnacentral:rRNA from 1 species
CCUACGGGAGGCAGCAGUGAGGAAUAUUGGUCAAUGGACGAGAGUCUGAACCAGCCAAGUAGCGUGAAGGAUGACUGCCCUAUGGGUUGUAAACUUCUUUUAUAUGGGAAUAAAACGUUCCACGUGUGGGAUUUUGUAUGUACCAUAUGAAUAAGGAUCGGCUAACUCCGUGCCAGCAGCCGCGGUAAUACGGAGGAUCCGAGCGUUAUCCGGAUUUAUUGGGUUUAAAGGGAGCGUAGGUGGAUUGUUAAGUCAGUUGUGAAAGUUUGCGGCUCAACCGUAAAAUUGCAGUUGAAAAUGGCAGUCUUGAGUACAGUAGAGGUGGGCGGAAUUCGUGGUGUAGCGGUGAAAUGCUUAGAUAUCACGAAGAACUCCGAUUGCGAAGGCAGUUCACUGGACUGCAACUGACACUGAGGCUCGAAAGUGUGGGUAUCAAACAGGAUUAGAUACCCCAGUAGUC